ACCAGACCACCAUGUUCGUAGACCCUCCGGCGAACCACUGUGAACCGUCAUUCCUGAAUCACCCCACCAUCGUUGAAUCGUUUGGGGAUUUUUGAGUUUAAUCAUCCAAGCGUUCUUCAAACGCGAGAUAGGUUGGUGUAGUUCAUCAAACCAGGAUGCCUUCCACUGAUCCAGUUCUCCUCCCGCGAGUUCAAGGAAACCAUCAUCGUCACCAUCGCAGGUAGCCUUUUGUUCAGAUUCGAAAGUAUCAUAGAGCUCAUUCCGGAAGUUGGUGCUCCUGUCAUGGCUGUGAGCGCACUUGGCUCACGGUUUCUUUCUGAGGGUCACAAUGUUUAUGAAGCAGAACA